UAUUCUCUUUACUUCAUGAUAACUCAGCUGCCAUUAUUCUCCUCUCUCCAGGAUAAACAAGCUGGGGCAAGUUCUGAGGACCUUCACAUGCAGAUAAAGGCCCCUUCUGGUGUUACAAAAGAGGCAGAAGAUAAAAGGGACCUUGACGGAAG